rnacentral:tmRNA from 1 species
GGGGCCGAUCCGGAUUCGACGUGGGUCGCGAAACAACUCAGGGCAUGCCGAGCACCAGUACGCUCGUUAAACCACUGGAACACUACAAACGCCAACGACGAGCGUUUCGCUCUCGCCGCUUAAGCGGUGAGCCGCUGCACUGAUCUGUCCUUGGGUCAGGCGGAGGAAGGCAACUUCCCAGGGGGGGCAACCCUCGAACCGCAGCAGCGACAUUCACAAGGAAUCGGUUUGAACUGGGGUCACACGGUUCAAAUUUAAAUUACGUGAAUCGCUCUGGUCCGGCCUGUCGGUUGGCUAAGUCCAGGGUUAAAACCAAAUAGAUCGACUACGCAUGUAGAACUGGUUGCGGAGGGCUUGCGGACGGGGGUUCAAUUCCCCCCGGCUCCACCA